AUGCAUGAGAUUGCCACUUCACAGAGAAUUUAUCAAACAUGGACAAACUUAUUUUUAAUCAUCAUGUUGAAAGGAAUUAUUUCAUUACAAAGAACAGAAAACUACAUAUGUGAUAUCAAGAAAAAAAUAAAGGUAGAAAUUACUUCAUCAGAUUUUUUUUGCUACUACCUCAAAGACCUAAAGCAGCACCUCAAAGAAACGAGAAAUUUCAUGAGUAAGGGAAGGAAAGGAACCGGGAGAUCAGAAAACACCAGGAUGAAAGUUGAACUGAUGAAUGCUCCAAGAUGUACAGCAUUUGUACUGAUUCUACAUUGA
rnacentral:lncRNA from 13 species